GUAUCCAAAAGACUCUCGGCAACGGAUAUCUCGGCUCUUGCAUCGAUGAAGAACGUAGCGAAAUGCGAUACUUGGUGUGAAUUGCAGAAUCCCGUGAACCAUCGAGUCUUUGAACGCAAGUUGCGCCCGAAGCCUUUAGGCCGAGGGCACGCCUGCCUGGGUGUCGCACAUCGUUGCCCCC
rnacentral:rRNA from 1 species